rnacentral:tRNA from 1 species
AAAAAUUUAGUUAAAUUUAUAACAUUAGUUUGUCAAACUAAAAUUAUUUUAAUAAUAAUUUUUU